GUUGAAACACCGGUUCCCGUACUAGUACCGAAGUUAAGCAAAGCCGAGCCUGAUCAGUACCGAGAUGGAUGACCGCUUGGAAAUAUUAGGUUCUGUAAG